rnacentral:ncRNA from 2 species
CUCUUAUCAAGAGUAGGCUGAGGGACUGGCCCGAUGAAGCCCGGCAACCUGAGAUUCACCCACACAAGCUCGACGCGGAAUUUGCAGUUCGCAGCUUGGCGUGCAUGAAACUUGUGGUGCUAAUUCCUACGGGUAGUUGUGGCCCGAGAGAUAAGAG